UCUGGGUGGGGCACCAAUGAAUGUAAUUUAUAUUCAUUUCCAAAGUACUUGCAACAGUUCUGCAACAUUUCUGCAAGAACAGGGAUCCUUGAAGGUGGCCGAGGUCAUCACAGCAGACUGCAAACUGAUUGAAGCCUCUGAGGAGUUGCUCAGGACAUGGAUGCCAUUUUCUAAAGUUUUUCUAUGUACAUUUGCAAGCAGAGUGGUAAAUCUUGCCUUCGUUAUGAAGAAAAGAAUGGGGAUGGGAGUGAAAUAGAGGAUGAGAAGAAAGUGAAACUCAGCCAAGUCCCAUUGGGAUUUAAUGGGCAGCUCAUAAGACUUCAUGUGCUAAAGGACUGAUCGGCAAAAGCUAUAGCAGUCUUCCUCAGCCAGCUCUGACAAAAGCAUCCUUAGUCUGCAUUUGAGCUAAGUUUGGUUCUCUGUUUUUAUGUGGGAGAACAGAGUGUGCUAUAUUACAGGAGCUAAACCCUUGAACAUUAAGUUGUCUGAGAUGUAUGCUGCUUUUUCACUUGUGAUUUUAAGAGAACAAUGGAAGUGCUGAUUUUCACCUUUCUGUAAUCUCAGUUUUACAUUGAAGGAGAACCUCAUCUUCAGGAAUAGAGCACGGAAUACAAAAGAUUGUUCUUAAUGUAAAAAACAGCUGGGGAAAUUUUCUAGGAGAUCUAAUACAGUUACUCAAAGUGCAAUGCUGAAUAGCAGAGUGUAUCUCCUUUUCUUUAAUUCUGCUCAGUACUGUACAUUUUUUACUUUCAUUCCUUGUUUCCACAAAUUCAUCUGGGAUGCUCGUUAAUCUGGUAUUCCUAUUAUCAGCAUACUUUGAAAGAGACCAGAUUUCCACCAGAAAUCUUGACAUAUAUGUAAAUCUUCUUCCAGUUAGGAAAAGAAAAGAUAAUACACCACACGUUGGUGUCUAUAGGUCAACCACAGGCUAUAUAAAAUAAGGUUCCAUGUAGUUAAAAUAAAUGAAAAAGAAAAAUCA
rnacentral:lncRNA from 1 species